rnacentral:rRNA from 1 species
GACAGAGGGUGCAAGCGUUAUCCGGAAUGAUUGGGCGUAAAGCGUCUGUAGGUGGUUUAUUAAGUCUACUGUUAAAGAUCAGGGCUUAACCCUGAGCAGGCAAUAGAAACUAAUAAGCUAGAGUACGGUAGGGGCAGAGGGAAUUCCCGGUGUAGCGGUGAAAUGCGUAGAGAUCGGGAAGAACACCAACGGCGAAAGCACUCUGCUGGGCCGAAACUGACACUGAGAGACGAAAGCUAGGGGAGCAAAUGGG